AAACAUGAGAGUUUGAUCCUGGCUCAGGAUGAACGCUGGCGGCGUGCCUAACACAUGCAAGUCGAACGAAGCAAUUUAACGGAAGUUUUCGGAUGGAAGUUGAAUUGACUGAGUGGCGGACGGGUGAGUAACGCGUGGGUAACCUGCCUUGUACUGGGGGACAACAGUUAGAAAUGACUGCUAAUACCGCAUAAGCGCACAGUAUCGCAUGAUACAGUGUGAAAAACUCCGGUGGUACAAGAUGGACCCGCGUCUGAUUAGCUAGUUGGUAAGGUAACGGCUUACCAAGGCGACGAUCAGUAGCCGACCUGAGAGGGUGACCGGCCACAUUGGGACUGAGACACGGCCCAAACUCC
rnacentral:ncRNA from 1 species